AGUGCUUUUCAGCCUUUUGGCUAAUAUCAACUUUAUUAUCUGUUCUCAUGAGUUUAAUAUCUGUUACAUGCUCUAGCCGAGCACAAUAUAUGAAAUGGAUUUUGAAAGGCCCACUCCAUGCAUUUAACUUGCUGUUGUAGAAAUGGCCCAGGAAUGGUCCAGCCCAUUAAAGGACUUAGAAAUUAUUCUUAAACCAUU
rfam:Dipodomys ordii contig_18799, whole genome shotgun sequence.